GCAAGUCGAACGGUAACAGGCCUUCGGGCGCUGACGAGUGGCGGACGGGUGAGUAACACGUAGGAAUCUACCCUCAAGUCUGGGACAACUUGGAGAAAUCCAAGCUAAUACCGGAUGUGCUCUACGGAGUAAAGAAUUUCGCUUGAGGAUGAGCCUGCGGCUGAUUAGCUAGUUGGUGGGGUAAAGGCCUACCAAGGCGACGAUCAGUAGCCGACUUGAGAGAGUGUAC
rnacentral:rRNA from 1 species